AUUGAACGCUGGCGGCAGGCCUAACACAUGCAAGUCGAGCGAGCGGCGGACGGGGGAGUAAUAUAUAGGGACUGCCCGAUAGAGGGGGAUCACUACUGGAAACGGCGGCUAAUACCGCAUACUGUCGGCUUACCCAUAUGGGAUUAGAUAGUAGGUAAGGUAAUGGCUUACCUAGGCGACGAUCCCUAGCUGGUCUGAGAGGAUGAUCAGCCACACUGGGACUGAGACACGGCCCAGACUCCUACGGAGGCAGCAGUGGGGAAUAUUGCACAAUGGGCGCAAGCCUGAUGCAGCCAUGCCGCGUGUAUGAAGAAGGCCCUAGGGUUGUAAAGUACUUUCAGUCGGGAGGCGGUACCUAAAGAAAAAGCACCGGCUAACUCCGUGCCAGCAGCCGCGGUAAUUC
rnacentral:rRNA from 1 species